UGCCAUAAGGGAUAGUAUUACCCUUAGCAGCAGCAGGUAAUU
rnacentral:ncRNA from 1 species